CCUACGGGAGGCAGCAGUAGGGAAUCUUCCGCAAUGGACGAAAGUCUGACGGAGCAACGCCGCGUGAGCGAUGAAGGCCUUCGGGUCGUAAAGCUCUGUUGUCAGGGAAGAACAAGUACCGGAGUAACUGCCGGUACCUUGACGGUACCUGACCAGAAAGCCACGGCUAACUACGUGCCAGCAGCCGCGGUAAUACGUAGGUGGCAAGCGUUGUCCGGAAUUAUUGGGCGUAAAGCGCGCGCAGGCGGUCCUUUAAGUCUGAUGUGAAAGCCCACGGCUCAACCGGGGAGGGUCAUUGGAAACUGGGGAACUUGAGUGCAGAAGAGGAGAGCGGAAUUCCACGUGUAGCGGUGAAAUGCGUAGAGAUGUGGAGGAACACCAGUGGCGAAGGCGGCUCUCUGGUCUGUAACUGACGCUGAGGCGCGAAAGCGUGGGGAGCGAACAGGAUUAGAUACCCUGGUAGUCCACGCCGUAAACGAUGAGUGCUAAGUGUUAGAGGGUUUCCGCCCUUUAGUGCUGCAGCAAACGCAUUAAGCACUCCGCCUGGGGAGUACGGCCGCAAGGCUGAAACUCAAAGGAAUUGACGG
rnacentral:rRNA from 1 species